rnacentral:rRNA from 1 species
AGUGAACGCUGGCGGUAGGCCUAACACAUGCAAGUCGAACGGCAGCACAGAGGAGCUUGCUCCUUGGGUGGCGAGUGGCGGACGGGUGAGGAAUACAUCGGAAUCUACUCUGUCGUGGGGGAUAACGUAGGGAAACUUACGCUAAUACCGCAUACGACCUACGGGUGAAAGCAGGGGAUCUUCGGACCUUGCGCGAUUGAAUGAGCCGAUGUCGGAUUAGCUAGUUGGCGGGGUAAAGGCCCACCAAGGCGACGAUCCGUAGCUGGUCUUAGAGGAUGAUCGGCCACACUGGAACUGAGACACGGUCCAGACUCCUACGGGAGGCAGCAGUGGGGAAUAUUGGACAAUGGGCGCAAGCCUGAUCCAGCCAUACCGCGUGGGUGAAGAAGGCCUUCGGGUUGUAAAGCCCUUUUGUUGGGAAAGAAAUCCAUCUGGUUAAUACCCGGGUGGGAUGACGGUACCCAAAGAAUAAGCACCGGCUAACUUCGUGCCAGCCGCCGCGGUAA